AGUCGAACGCAACCUUCGGGUUGAGUGGCGGACGGGUGAGUAACGCGUGAGAAUCUGCCUUGGGGUCGGGGACAACCACUGGAAACGGUGGCUAAUACCGGAUAAGCCUUUGGGUAAAAAAUUUAUUGCCCCAAGAGGAGCUCGCGUCUGAUUAGCUAGUUGGUGAGGUAAAAGCUCACCAAGGCAGCGAUCAGUAGCUGGUCUGAGAGGACGAUCAGCCACACUGGGACUGAGACACGGCCCAGACUCCUACGGGAGGCAGCAGUGGGGAAUUUUCCGCAAUGGGCGAAAGCCUGACGGAGCUAGACCGCGUGAGGGAGGAAGGCUCUUGGGUUGUAAACCUCUUUUCUCAGGGAAGAAGCUCUGACGGUACCUGAGGAAUCAGCCUCGGCUAACUCCGUGCCAGCAGCCGCGGUAAUACGGAGGAGGCAAGCGUUAUCCGGAAUUAUUGGGCGUAAAGCGUCCGCAGGUGGCGAUUCAAGUCUGCUGUCAAAGCACGGGGCUUAACUCCGUUAAGGCAGUGGAAACUGAAUAGCUAGAGUGCCGUAGGGGUAGAGGGAAUUCCCGGUGUAGCGGUGAAAUGCGUAGAGAUCGGGAAGACCAUCGGUGGCGAAAGCGCUCUAACUGGACGGCAACUGACACUCAGGGACGAAAGCUAAGGGGAGCGAAUGGGAUUAGAUACCCCAGUAGUCCUAGCUGUAAACGAUGGAUACUAGGUGUAGCGUGUCUAGACCAGAUCUGCCCGAAAGAUAGCGCGUUAUGUAUCCCGCCUGGGGAGUACAGCACGCAUGUGUGAAACUCAGAGGUUUUCGCGGGCGCCCCACAACAAGCUGGUGGUAAUAUGUGGUAUUAUGUCGACUGCCACGCAGAAGAACCUUAGCAGCGCUUGACAUCUCAGUAUCCGCCGAUGAAAGCUGGGACUUCCUUCGCGGAGCCGGAACAGCAGGUGCUGCAUCGCUGUCAUCAGCUCGUCUCGAUGAGAUGUUGGAUUUACUCCCGCAACGAGCAGCAACCCUCGUCUUUAGUCGCACAGCAUUAAGUGGCACACUUUAGAGAGACUGCCGUUGACAAACCGGAGGAAGGUGGGGAUGACGUCAAGUCAGCAUGC
rnacentral:rRNA from 1 species